GGGGAUAUAGCUCCAUUGGUAGAGUGCCUUCCUUGCAUGCACAAAGCCCUGGGUUCAAUUCCCAGCAUCACCA
rnacentral:tRNA from 1 species